rnacentral:lncRNA from 1 species
GCGAGGGCUGGCGGCGGAGCAGCGUGUUUGCGCAGUGUUGGGCUUCCUUUCUACAAACACGCCACACACUGUGAGGGGGUGGCUGGCGGCCACCUGGGCUAGUAGAUGGUGAGAAUGAGAUAAAGCAUGUGGUUCCUGACUGACAGCAAGGAGGGACACAGAAAUAGCGAGGACAUGUCCAGCAUCUCUGCCAGCUAGCACCAGGCCAAGAACACCAAACAGAAACCUCCAGCUAAGCUACCCGCAGCCACAAGUUGAUACAGAAUUCACUGCUGCAGGAAGAACUGGAGGCCAGGAGGCACCCAGGUGAGGUUGUGGUUCCGGGAUUCA